GCUCAGAAGCUUUCGCCUCCGCCUUCAGACUGGCCCUCAGGCUUCCCUGCUCAGAGGCAGGGAAUUGUGCAGCUGGAGUUUCAUUUUCCAAGAGGCAGGGUCUCAGUCUGUCACCCAGGCUGGAGUACAGUGGCACCAUCUUGGCUCACUCUAGCCUCGACCUCCUGGGCUCAAGUGAGCCUCCUACCUCAGUCUCCCAAAAUGCUGGGAUUACAAGCAUGAACCACUGUGACUUGCCUUCUUGGCAAUUUUAAAUGAAAGAAGAAGAUGGAAUAAUGCCUACUGAGGACUAUGUUUGAGGGGUGUUGUAUGACCCCGUUUUCCAUACCCAGCCAACUUGUCAUGUGACAAGUCCACAGAAAGAUGUUAUAUGACAGGAAUCUAUGAACUAGUCUUCCCUGAAAUGUACCUGACUACAGCUAACAUCAUAUCACAUGAUGAAAGACCGCGUUGUUUUCCCCUGAGGUUGGCAGGACUCCUACUUGUCAGAUGCUCCACCUCCUACAGAGAAGUUCUGUGUCCUUCGUCUUCUGGUGCAUGGUUCCCUUUUAUUUGUGUUGUAAUCUUUGUUAUGCUCUAGAUUGUUUUCUCUGCUGUAUAUUCUAACCCUUUUGUUUACUUUUAAAAAAUGUAUUUAUUUUAAACUUUUAAAUAUUUUAUUAAAAUUUU
rnacentral:lncRNA from 10 species